GACAGAGGGUGCAAACGUUGUUCGGAAUUACUGGGCGUAGAGCGCGUGUAGGCGGCCAUCUAAGUCGGGCGUGAAAUCCCACGGCUCAACCGUGGAAGUGCACUCGAAACUGGAUGGCUAGAGUCCUGGAGAGGAAGGUGGAAUGCUUGGUGUAGAGGUGAAAUUCGUAGAUAUCAAGCGGAACACCGGUGGCGAAGGCGGCCUUCUGGACAGUGACUGACGCUGAGACGCGAAAGCGUGGGGAGCAAACAGG
rnacentral:rRNA from 1 species